rnacentral:rRNA from 1 species
UACGAAGGGGGCUAGCGUUGUUCGGAAUUACUGGGCGUAAAGCGCACGUAGGCGGGCGAUUAAGUCAGGGGUGAAAUCCCGGAGCUCAACUCCGGAACUGCCUUUGAUACUGGUCGUCUAGAGAUCGGAAGAGGUGAGUGGAAUUCCCAGUGUAGAGGUGAAAUUCGUAGAUAUUGGGAAGAACACCAGUGGCGAAGGCGGACUCACUGGUCCGAUACUGACGCUGAGGUGCGAAAGCGUGGGGAGCAAACAGG